rnacentral:rRNA from 1 species
AUUGAACGCUGGCGGCAGGCCUAACACAUGCAAGUCGAGCGGAUGAAGGGAGCUUGCUCCUGGAUUCAGCGGCGGACGGGUGAGUAAUGCCUAGGAAUCUGCCUGGUAGUGGGGGAUAACGUCCGGAAACGGGCGCUAAUACCGCAUACGUCCUGAGGGAGAAAGUGGGGGAUCUUCGGACCUCACGCUAUCAGAUGAGCCUAGGUCGGAUUAGCUAGUUGGGGGGGUAAAGGCCUACCAAGGCGACGAUCCGUAACUGGUCUGAGAGGAUGAUCAGUCACACUGGAACUGAGACGCGGUCCAGACUCCUACGGGAGGCAGCAGUGGGGAAUAUUGGACAAUGGGCGAAAGCCUGAUCCAGCCAUGCCGCGUGUGUGAAGAAGGUCUUCGGAUUGUAAAGCACUUUAAGUUGGGAGGAAGGGCAGUAAGUUAAUACCUUGCUGUUUUGACGUUACCAACAGAAUAAGCACCGGCUAACUUCGUG